rnacentral:tRNA from 1 species
GGGGUUGUGGCUCAAUGGUAGAGCACUUGCCUUGCAUAUGAGAGGCCCUGGGUUCAAUUCUCAACACCA